GAUGAACGCUGGCGGCGUGCCUAAUACAUGCAAGUCGAGCGAACAGACGAGGAGCUUGCUCCUCUGACGUUAGCGGCGGACGGGUGAGUAACACGUGGAUAACCUACCUAUAAGACUGGGAUAACUUCGGGAAACCGGAGCUAAUACCGGAUAAUAUAUUGAAGCGCAUGGUUCAAUAGUGAAAGUCGGUUUUGCUGUCACUUAUAGAUGGAUCCGCGCCGCAUUAGCUAGUUGGUACGGUAAAGGCCUUCCAAGGGAACGAUGCGUAGCCGACCUGAGAGAGGGAUCGCCCACCCUGGAACUGGGACACGGUCCAGACUCCUACGGGAGGCAGCAGUAGGGAAUCUUCCGCAAUGGGCGAAAGCCUGACGCAGCAGCGCCGCGUGAGUGAUGAAGGUCUUCGGAUCGUAAAACUCUGUUAUUAGUGAAGAACAAAUUUGUAAGUAACUAUGCACGUCUUGACGGUACCUAAUCAGAAAGCCACGGCUAACUACGUG
rnacentral:rRNA from 1 species